ensembl:lncRNA uncharacterized LOC110407425
GGAGAUAACCCAGGGCAGGGUCUGGUGACCCUGGUUGGAUCACGGAGGUCCACCAGCGCCCGGCAGCCAGAUGGGUUCUGCCUGCGUCCCUUGGCUGUGCCUCCUGCUGCUGGCCCUGCCCACCUCACACGCAGGUAUUGCUGUGCCCAGAGCUAACCUUGCUGAGGAGGCAAAUGGCUCUUCCAUCAUCAAAACCACUGUGACAGUCUACUACUGUAAAAACUAUGGAGGAGAAGAAUGCAAAACAUCUGAUUACACAGGCUUUGAAAUAAUUGGCAAAACAGAAAAUGAGACAUUUUCGAAUGAAAAUAUUAGUCUGGUGACCAGUGAAAUGCACAUUACUAUGUGUUUUCAGCAAGAAAACAUGUGUCGUGAUGGAGCUUAUGUCAUUUUCUGGGAGAAGGCCGGGGGAGUAGGAGAUCCGCGUGGCAUCUUGAAGUGUGAAGCUCCCCUUGAAGAUAGGAGACAUAGCAUCAUAGAGGAGGGGAAAAUCUGCUGUGAGACAGAGACCGAUCAUGCAAACCCUCACAGUGUCCUGAAGUGCUACAUUGGAAGGACAGAUGAGAAAAAUACAAACACAAUGGAUGGCAUCAAUUAUUAUGGGGAUCUGGGUAAUCAUCAAUAUUUAGUCGGUGAAAACAACCAAACCGGCCUCACUGCCACACUCCUCGUUGUCGGGAUCUGUGCAGGAGCAGCAGCACUGCUGUCCAUGUAUUGUUAUUACAAGAGGCGGACCCGGAAACAUCAAGGACCUAUCAUAUUGCUCGCUCAGACUCAUCCAGAUUAAUCAAACAAGUUUCUGAAAGCAAAAACCUCACAGCUAUUUGAAAUACCAUCUACGAAAGAGAAAAGCUGGGCCUUUAGGCCAGCAGCAAACCCCUCAGCAAUGAAGCACAGCCAUCAACUGAAGAAACACUUGUCAUUUUCGUAAAUGUGCUUCCAUCACUCCCAAGCAUUCCUUGAGGACUGAGAUUGCCAAAGAUGUCCAGCGCCAGGUCUUCACCAGCAAUGCCAGAAGAUUGCUGGAGCUCCUGUCCUCUCCUGGUGCUUGGCUGAGGGCCACCAUCAUCACAAAACCAGUGGCUGGCUCAGCAGCACAGGCCUAGAGCAGCCCACUCCUCUCGGUGGACGAACUGACAGAAUCAACCACUCAAACCAAAGUUCUUCGGAGAACUGCAUCUGUACUCAGGAGAAGUGUGUGUCGAACCCUGCGACAGACGUUCUAUAUAAGUUUUCCAUGUCACAGUGCAGUAGCAUGGCUGUGGUUCUUCAUCCUUUAGCUCCCAGGUGGUCUCUGCAUUUACACAGGAAGGCAUUUAGUGAGGUGACUGAUUUGUUUAGGGAAAGAGGCUUGGCCUUCAAAGCAGAUGUCCAAAACCUAAAUUGAAAAGUUAAUUGUGUAUGACAACAAAAUAUAUGUUAAUAAUUAAAUUUAGAAAUACAGAAAAGUCUUUGUUCUUCUAUUUCACUCUUAUUUGACAGAACAGUCUAGUACUUCCCACAACCCCAGCCAUAGCAGUGGGGGCUUUACCUUCCUGCUGACCUAAAGUAAUCUUAACUCAGCUCUCUAAUGUGGUCUUCUAAUGGAAAAAAAAAUGUCUGCAUAUAUAUAUCUUCAUGUUCUUAUGUACAGUGUUCAAAUUGAUGGUUGAUGCUGUGCUUUUUUUUUGGAGACUCUCUUUUUUGUAUACCCUCAGGUUCUGCAUUCUUUGGGAAAGGGACAAGAAGACAUUUGAGAACUUACGUUGUAUAAACUUGAGCGAUUCAGAUUUGAUAAUGAGCAGAUUUAAUUUCUAAUCUUUAACACUAGUUGGAGCCAGAGAGCGGGUCAAGUCUCGAGAAUCAAGGUUACCUGCACGAUUCUGCCCAGUGGCAAUUGUUCAGCUGUCACGAGAUGCCAUCACAAGCUGGUCUUUGUGGCUCACCCAGGCACCUUCCUUUCCAUUUCUUCUGCCUUUCUGCUAGCUAUUAUGCAGCUGUGAUACUGAGAGGUGUCACUACCAGUUUUGUGGCUCCUGGGCUCUUUUUUCCUGGUAACACCAAUUAUCCAAUGUGUUGGAAAAAAAUAGCUUUAAUGAUCUAUGCUUCUUGCUCUGAGCAAAUGAUUUAUGCUGCUUUAUGUGAGCUUUUACAAAUCAACAUAUGCAUGCAAAUAUACAUUUCUUAAAUAAAGAUUGAUUGAAGAUACCGGGCA